GAUGAACGCUGGCGGCGUGCCUAAUACAUGCAAGUCGAGCGAACGGACGAGAAGCUUGCUUCUCUGAUGUUAGCGGCGGACGGGUGAGUAACACGUGGAUAACCUACCUAUAAGACUGGGAUAACUUCGGGAAACCGGAGCUAAUACCGGAUCAUAUUUUGAACCGCAUGGUUCAAAAGUGAAAGACGGUCUUGCUGUCACUUAUAGAUGGAUCCGCGCUGCAUUAGCUAGUUGGUAAGGUAACGGCUUACCAAGGCAACGAUGCAUAGCCGACGUGAGAGGGUGAUCGGCCACACUGGAACUGAGACACGGUCCAGACUCCUACGGGAGGCAGCAGUAGGGAAUCUUCCGCAAUGGGCGAAAGCCUGACGGAGCAACGCCGCGGGAGUGAUGAAGGUCUUCGGAUCGUAAAACUCUGUUAUUAGGGAAGAACAUAUGUGUAAGUAACUGUGCACAUCUUGACGGUACCUAAUCAGAAAGCCACGGCUAACUACGUG
rnacentral:rRNA from 1 species